rnacentral:rRNA from 1 species
GUAGGGCGCAAGCGUUGUCCGGAAUUAUUGGGCGUAAAGAGCUCGUAGGCGGCCAGUCGCGUCGGGUGUGAAAGACCGGGGCUUAACCCCGGUUCUGCAUUCGAUACGGGCUGGCUAGAGUGUGGUAGGGGAGAUCGGAAUUCCUGGUGUAGCGGUGAAAUGCGCAGAUAUCAGGAGGAACACCGGUGGCGAAGGCGGAUCUCUGGGCCAUUACUGACGCUGAGGAGCGAAAGCGUGGGGAGCGAACAGGAUUAGAUACCCUGGUAGUCCACGCCGUAAACGGUGGGAACUAGGUGUUGGUCACAUUCCACGUGAUCGGUGCCGCAGCUAACGCAUUAAGUUCCCCGCCUGGGGAGUACGGCCGCAAGGCUAAA